GAUGAACGCUAGCUACAGGCUUACCCCCUGCAAGUCGAGGGACCGGCGCACGGGUGAGUAACACGUAUACAACUUUCACCUUACCAGGGGAUAGCCUUUCGAAAGAUCGAUAAAUACUCGUUCUUACGGAUUGGGAUGCGUCCCAUUAGGUUGUUGGUGAUGUAACAGCACACCAAGCCCUCGUCGGAUAGGGGUUCAGAGCGGAAGGUCCCCCACAUUUGAGCUGCGACACAGUCCAAAAUCGUACGGGAUGCAGCAGUGAGGAAUAUUGGUCAAUAGGCGGUAGCCUGAACCAGCCAAGGAGCGUGAGGGAUGAAGGCGUAUGGGUCGUAAACUUCUUUUAUAUAAGAAUAUGUAUUAGAUGAAUAAGGAGCGGCGAACUCCGGGCCAGCAGCCGCGGUAAUUC
rnacentral:rRNA from 1 species